rnacentral:lncRNA from 1 species
GGCCUCCCAAAGUGCUGGGAUUACAGGCGUGAGCCACUGUGCCUGGCCAGUAGUAUACCAUUUUAAUGUAUAUUAUUUUAAUUACUAGGGAUGUGAACAUUUUUAUAGUGUUCUUGUCACCUGAAGUAUUGUUUUGUGAAUUUAUGUUAUUUGCAUGCUUCCACGUGGUCAUAUUUGAUAUGCAAUCCCUCAUUUACUUACAUUAAUGUUUUAACUAGUAUUUCUAGUCAGAUGUCAUUAAAACCACCAACAGAAGGGUUAAUAUAUAAGCAGAUUGAAAUAUACAUAUUGUAAAAGAGAAAUAAAAAUGAUGUAAAUGACUAGCAAGAACUCUCAAAAGAACCAUCUGAAAACCUAUUAGUCA